rnacentral:lncRNA from 1 species
GAGUUUAAAUAAGAAUGAGUUAGACUUAGUGGUUAAGAAGUAGUGGUAUUGGAUUAUUGUUCGCAAUCCCAUUAUAAGCCAAAUAGGGUAAGCAUUGAUCUCCAAAACCAGAUUCGAAAAGCCACUCUCUUUCCUCUGUUAUGGUCGAACCCUACAGGGUGGUUAAGGACUUAAUUUUAGUUCAUUCUUUGUGUUGGGUACAGAUCUGAAUUGGAUCUAGUUAUAUCUAAAACGUAGGAGUUGCAGAAUAGCAAUAGAGUUUCAGUUUUGCGUUAAUCAAGUGUGGGUCUUACCUUUGGGUGUUUUGGUGAUAAUUGUAAAUUACGUGAUAUGCAUGUUGGUUAAUUGUACAUGUUGAUUUUUGUGCUUAGCCGAAUAGCCUUGUGUUAGAUAAGGGAUUGUCGAUUAUGGUAAGUGCUAAAAGGCGAUAGCCGAAUGUGCAAAGCCUCUAUUUGGGAUUAAUUGAAUGUGUAAGUGUUGAUUGUAAUUACUGAUUGUCUGCUAUGGCUGAGUAUGCAUAGACUGCUAAUGUAUGAUAUGGUAUUGUUAUCACAUGUUUCCCGAAUGCAUGAGAAAAUGCCUACUAUUCUGUAUUUACUGAUUGCAUGUGAAGCAUGCCACUGUUACUGAAUUACUGAUCGUAUGUUAAAACAUGUUACUAUUCUGUAUUGUACCUAUUCUAUCAUGCAUGUUAUGUGAUUCUGAUGUAUAGGGUUGGAAAGAUUGAUGAUUGUGUAGUUCUGGCUGUUUAUUCGCAAAUAUGAGAGUUAUGGCGGAUAAUCCGCAAAUAUUGGAGUUCUGGCAGUAUAGCUGCAACAUUGGAGUAUUCUUUGGAGUUCUAGUAGUUCGUCUGCAAACUUUUUACUGGCGGUUUAACCAUAACUUACUGUCAGUUUAUCUGCAAAUAUUUAUUGUUACUGGUGAUUUAUCGACAAUGAGUUAUAACUCUUAUUGUUAUGGUGUGUACGGAUAGAUGAGUUCUAGAGAACUCAUGGUGUGUAGCGGAUGGAUGGAUAGGAAAUUACACUGACAUCCAUGAACAUGUACAUACAUUCUGAGAACUCUGUGAUUCUGUAUAUUUUGUAACACUGUGAUCUGUGACACUGUUAUUACUAUUAUCUCUAUUUACUUGCAUGCUUUUGUGAUCUUUGGUACACUGAUUUCUUAUGAUUAAGACUCAUACUGAACUUUCAAGCUCACCCAUUUAAUUUACUCCUUACAGAUAACCCUCAAGGUUAGGAUUAGAUUCGUCAUACGGAGGUCUCGUCUCAGAUUUUCAGUUAAUAAAGUAUUUUUAAUUUUACUUUAUUUAUUUUGGUUUUAUUUUUGGGAUUGUAAAUUUUAUUAAUAAUGAACUGUGGUAUGGGUUGUUUUUAUUUGGGAUUUUGCAUGCAUGAAAUUUUUUGUGAAAACCAAACGAAUUUAAUAACUGGCUUAAUAUGAUUUAAAACACGAAUUUUAUUACAAAAUCAAGGACAUCACAUUUUUCCGCUGCAUAGUGAUGAAACGUAAUUUUUAAAUGUUUACUGAUGAAAUCAAUUGAGUUUUUUUUUUUUUUUCAAACAACACGAUUUUCUAAUAAAUUGAACUUAAAUUAUAGACAACCUAACAAUCUGAUGUUCUAAAUAAAUCUAAGGCAACCACGCUAAGUUUUUUUGGAAAUUGAUCAAAAUAGUGAUUUUUUUAAAACGAAACUGAUUUAUUUGACUAGGAUGCUAACUAAUGGCUGUAAAGUCAUUCUGUAAUUUCGUUGACCUGGGUUUGAAUCCUAUUUUGACCUUUGGUUGGAGGCAUUUUGGUGCAGGAGGAGCAGCUAAAUGUAAGAGGCCUAUAGCAUGGAGUAUAGCUUGGUGCUCCGUCAGAAUAACAUAUGGACAUGCUUCUUACCCAGAAGAAGAAAAAGGCAUAUUUGCUUUCUAUUGCCCAUCCCUCUCUCCUCUAUUUUUUUGGCUAAACAGGUUAUUGUCGAUUAACAGCUUUAUUCCUUUAUUUUGACAGGGUUAAGGUAGAAUUCCAUUUACUAAUGACCGUUAUUCCAGGAAUGAGCUAACUUGCCUACAUGCAAAGAUAAUACAUACAGUCUACUUUCUUUGUUUUUCGAUUUAUUUCUCAAGACUUAUUCAAAAAUGGAUCAAUCUCUCUAAAGUUCUGUAUUAUGCUCUUGAAGUUGACUUCAAUACAGAUUCUUCUAAUAAAAUAUUUUAGGAUAUGGGAACCAAAAGGAGAAAAAAGCAGGGUAUUGGGGCAUUCCGAGAAUCGAACUCGGGACCUCUCGCACCCAAAGCGAGAAUCAUACCACUAGACCAAAUGCCCAAUUUUUGGUAUCUUUCAUGUCUGGUUUUUACUUAUCAGAUCUUUUUCUCAUAGGACUCCUAUGAAUCUUCAACGGGGUCAUUCUUGGAAGACCAAAAUCUUCCAAUUUCUCAUUUUUGAUGUGGUUCAAUGUAUCAUUUGCCUUCUACAAUUGGAUGCUAAGGACUUUUGCAUUAGCAACAGGUUACAGAUUCCAUUUAUAUUUUAAUCCCAGACUCCCUGUUUAAAGUUAUUAAUUCAUAGUAUGGAUCCCUUAGAGGCCAAAACAUCUAUGGGUUAUGAAAUUACCAAAUCUUAUAAAUUUCUUUUAACCAUGAAGAGUCUGGCGGCUAAAUCAAUAGUUUGCAUUUAGAAAUUAGAACAUUUUGAAUUAUACUUCAAAAAAAAUUUAAAAAUGAAAUUGCAGAACAACUAGGUAGCUAGUAGAAUAAACCUAAUCACCGUAUAUUGUCCCGAUAAAAUUUUCAAGCUGGUUAUCAAAGUCUUUAGGUGUUAAUUUAGUUGAUAAAGUUGUUUGGUUACUACUUGAGGAUGUAG